GAUCCUGGCUCAGGACGAACGCUGGCGGCGUGCCUAACACAUGCAAGUCGAGCGAUGAAGCCCUUCGGGGUGGAUUAGCGGCGGACGGGUGAGUAACACGUGGGUAACCUGCCUUGUAGAGGGGGAUAGCCUUCCGAAAGGAAGAUUAAAUACCGCAUAACAUCUUUUUAUCGCAUGGUAGAAAGAUCAAAGGAGCAAUCCGCUACAAGAUGGACCCGCGGCGCAUUAGCUAGUUGGUGAGGUAACGG
rnacentral:rRNA from 1 species